CAAACCCUAAAAACUAGGACAUUUGUCCCGUCCGCGCCGCCACCCCCUCGGGAUCUUCCUCGUCCAACUAGCGAGGCCGUCCUCCACGUGCCAACAACCCGCAGCAGCCAACAACCGCAGCUCCUAUGCUGCCUCCCUGCUCACACCAAGACCUCAGACCACUAUCCUCUCAUCCGGCUGGCCGGCAAGCCGCCCGAGCAGCAACCCCGUGACCAACGGGUUCCAGUCCCCGGCCAGGUCGACCUCGUUGCCGCCCUUCUUUUCCCUGUCUCUGGUGUUUCUCCUCCUCUCUCUAAUGUCUCUCUCUCCCCUUGCAAUCAAGAGCAGCCAUGGAGGCGCCGAAGGACCUCCAAGCCAUCCUCGGAUCCGACCCCAACGCCCAUCCCUCACCUCCUAGCGCCGCCGGUAACCUCGUCGUUGCCCUGCUCUCCCCGUUCUUCCCUUUCUUCCAUGCCCCUUCGCUCAUCUCUCUCUGUCUCGUUCGAACAGGAAGCCAUGGAGGCCAAGCUCCGCCGGAUCACAUCAGAUCCGUCGGGAAUGGAGCCACCCCGGCCAGAUCCGGCAAGAGCCGCCGCUGCCCGAGCCUUCCAUGUCGUUCCCCGCCGCAAUCCGUGCUCGAGACCCCUGCCCAGACCGCCAUGGCCUCCCCAUCCCCUGAUGUGAGCAAGUCCCUGCGUAACUGAAUUUCAGUUCUUUCCAAGAUCUGUUCCGCCAUGCUGAUGUUAUGUAGUAUUGCCUCUGAAUUCCUACACGCACACAUGGUUACUAAAGUGGCUAGCGCUCUCUCCUUCUAGCCAGGAGACCCGGGAUCAAAUCCCAGCGAGCUCUUAUUUAAUUUUUGUUGCACCAUCGACGUACACAUGUUGCUAUUUCUUCUCCGGUAUUUCAGAUGCUUAUAGCACAAG
rnacentral:lncRNA from 1 species